rnacentral:rRNA from 1 species
GUACCGUAUGAAUAAGGAUCGGCUAACUACGUGCCAGCAGCCGCGGUAAUACGUAGGGAGCGAGCGUUGUCCGGAUUUACUGGGUGUAAAGGGUGCGUAGGCGGCCGAGCAAGUCAGUUGUGAAAACUAUGGGCUUAACCCAUAACGUGCAAUUGAAACUGUCCGGCUUGAGUGAAGUAGAGGUAGGCGGAAUUCCCGGUGUAGCGGUGAAAUGCGUAGAGAUCGGGAGGAACACCAGUGGCGAAGGCGGCCUACUGGGCUUUAACUGACGCUGAGGCACGAAAGCAUGGGUAGCAAACAGGAUUAGAUACCCUGGUAGUCCAUGCCGUAAACGAUGAUUACUAGGUGUGGGGGGACUGACCCCUUCCGUGCCGCAGUUAACACAAUAAGUAAUCCACCUGGGGAGUACGGCCGCAAGGUUGAAACUCAAAGGAAUUGACGGGGGCCCGCACAAGCAGUGGAGUAUGUGGUUUAAUUCGAAGCAACGCGAAGAACCUUACCAGGUCUUGACAUCCUGAGAAUCCUUAAGAGAUUAGGGAGUGCCUUCGGGAACUCAGAGACAGGUGGUGCAUGGUUGUCGUCAGCUCGUGUCGUGAGAUGUUGGGUUAAGUCCCGCAACGAGCGCAACCCUUGCUAUUAGUUGCUACGCAAGAGCACUCUAAUAGGACUGCCGUUGACAAAACGGAGGAAGGUGGGGACGACGUCAAAUCAUCAUGCCCCUUAUGACCUGGGCUACACACGUACUACAAUGGCCAUUAACAGAGGGAAGCAAAACCGCGAGGCAGAGCAAACCCCUAAAAAUGGUCCCAGUUCGGAUUGUAGGCUGCAACCCGCCUACAUGAAGUUGGAAUUGCUAGUAAUCGCGGAUCAGCAUGCCGCGGUGAAUACGUUCUCGGGCCUUGCACACAACGCCCGUCA